rnacentral:misc_RNA from 1 species
UACGUAGGGGGCGAGCGUUGUCCGGAAUUAUUGGGCGUAAAGGGCAUGCAGGCGGUCUGCUAAGUUCGGGGUGAAAGUUACCAGCUUAACUGGUGAAGGACUUCGAAAACUGGUAGACUUGAGAGCGAGAGAGGGACAUGGAACUCCGGGCGGAGCAGUGAAAUGCGUAGAUAUCCGGAAGAACACCACAGGCGAAGGCAGUGUCCUGGCUCGUUUCUGACGCUGAGGUGCGAAAGCUAGGGGAGCGAACGGG